rnacentral:rRNA from 1 species
AAGCAAGACCGUGAGGUGGAGCAAAACNCAAAAACUUGUCUCAGUUCGGAUUGUAGGCUGAAACUCGCCUACAUGAAGCUGGAGUUGCUAGUAAUCGCGAAUCAGCAUGUCGCGGUGAAUACGUUCCCGGGCCUUGUACACACCGCCCGUCACACCAUGAGAGUUGGCAAUACCCAACGUACGUGAUCUAACCCGCAAGGGAGGAAGCGUCCUAAGGUAGGGUCAGCGAUUGGGGUGAAGUCGUAACAAGGUAUC